rnacentral:rRNA from 1 species
AGUGAACGCUGGCGGUAGGCCUAACACAUGCAAGUCGAACGGCAGCACAGUAAGAGCUUGCUCUUACGGGUGGCGAGUGGCGGACGGGUGAGGAAUACAUCGGAAUCUACUUUUUCGUGGGGGAUAACGUAGGGAAACUUACGCUAAUACCGCAUACGACCUACGGUUGAAAGCAGGGGAUCUUCGUACCUUGCGCGAUUGAAUGAGCCGAUGUCGGAUUAGCUAGUUGGCGGGGUAAAGGCCCACCAAGGCGACGAUCCGUAGCUGGUCUGAGAGGAUGAUCAGCCACACUGGAACUGAGACACGGUCCAGACUCCUACGGGAGGCAGCAGUGGGGAAUAUUGGACAAAGGGCGCAAGCCUGAUCCAGCCAUACCGCGUGGGUGAAGAAGGCCUUCGGGUUGUAAAGCCCUUUUGUUGGGAAAGAAAAGCAGCAGGUUAAUACCCCGCUGUUCUGACGGUACCCAAAGAAUAAGCACCGGCUAACUUCGUG